CACUUCUAUCUUUCUAAACGCAAUCCUAUAUAAGAAGAGAUAGAAUUUCUCUGGCUUUUCCUCUACUUAGUCCGUACUUAUUCGGUAUCGUUUAAAUCUAAGUCGUCUUUCUCAAGAAUGAAGUCAUUAUGCCUGUGUUAAGUCGACUCGAGACUCCUUCCCUGUAAUGAACCCAUAUUUCGGGUGAUUGGUGCGAUUU
rnacentral:lncRNA from 1 species